ACACAUGCAAGUCGAACGAGAGAAGAGAAGCUUGCUUUUCUGAUCUAGUGGCGGACGGGUGAGUAACACGUGAGCAAUCUGCCUUUCAGAGGGGGAUACCGAUUGGAAACGAUCGUUAAUACCGCAUAACAUAAUUGAACCGCAUGAUUUGAUUAUCAAAGAUUUAUCGCUGAAAGAUGAGCUCGCGUCUGAUUAGCUAGUUGGUAAGGUAACGGCUUACCAAGGCGACGAUCAGUAGCCGGACUGAGAGGUUGAUCGGCCACAUUGGGACUGAGACACGGCCCAGACUCCUACGGGAGGCAGCAGUGGGGAAUAUUGCACAAUGGAGGAAACUCUGAUGCAGCGAUGCCGCGUGAGGGAAGAAGGUUUUAGGAUUGUAAACCUCUGUCUUCAGGGACGAAAAAAUGACGGUACCUGAGGAGGAAGCUCCGGCUAACUACGUGCCAGCAGCCGCGGUAAUACGUAGGGAGCGAGCGUUGUCCGGAAUUACUGGGUGUAAAGGGAGCGUAGGCGGGAUCGCAAGUCAGAUGUGAAAACUAUGGGCUUAACCCAUAAACUGCAUUUGAAACUGUGGUUCUUGAGUGAAGUAGAGGUAAGCGGAAUUCCUAGUGUAGCGGUGAAAUGCGUAGAUAUUAGGAGGAACAUCAGUGGCGAAGGCGGCUUACUGGGCUUUAACUGACGCUGAGGCUCGAAAGCGUGGGG
rnacentral:rRNA from 1 species